GAUGAAGAACGUAGCGAAACGCGAUAGUUAAUGUGAAUUGCAGAAUUCAGUGAAUCAUCGAGUCUUUGAACGCACAUUGCGCCUUUUGGUAUUCCGAGAGGCACGCCUGUCUGAGCGUCAGUAAAACCCUUCGGUUUGACGAUUUAUUGUCUCGCCGGCGUUGGCGGUUUUUGGGUCCUUGUGGCUCGAUUCCGUUUAAACACUGACACGCGGAGAUUAAGGUGUUAAAGGAUUAACCCCUCAUCGAUUAGUAGAAAUAUUUAUCUUUGAAGAUUAUGACUUUAAAACCCCACCCGCUAUACAAAACAGGGAGCUCUUUUUUGAGCACCCGACCUUGAAUUUUGACCUCAGAUCAGACGAGGAUACCCGCUGAACUUAAGCAUAUCAAUAAGCAGAGGA
rnacentral:misc_RNA from 1 species